UCAAAAAUUUUUAAAACCCGAAAAUAAGUAGAUCUACUUUAAAAAUAAUUUUAGUUUACUCUAUUAAAUAGUAUUAUAAUUAAAUAUUUAAAGUUAGGCGUGAAACAUGUUCAAUUCUUAUGAUAUCUGGAUGAUAGUUAAAUACAUUUAGUGUAGAGUAAGUAGUUUAGUUUUUAAGUGUUAAGAUUUUUAAACUUAUGAAAGAUGCUCUAACAUUUUUAAAUUUUAAGAUUAUCCUCUUUACUGACUUUUAAAAUUAUAAUUUUUAUGAGAAAUUUUUUCCCCGAGUAACUAUCAAAUUAUUUUAACUCAUAAAUAUUUAUAUUCUGUUUAAAUUAGUAAUUAUUUUAAUUUGAGGAAAGGAACUCGGCAAAAAUUUUUCUCGACUGUUUAACAAAAACAUAGCUUUAAGAAUUUUAUUUAAGGUGAAUUCUGCUCGGUGAGAUUAUUUAACGGCCGCAGUACUUUGACUGUGCUAAGGUAGCAUAAUAAAUUGGCCUUUAAAUGGGGUCUGGUAUGAAUGAAUAUUCGAGAAAAAACUGUCUUUUUUAUAACUUUUGUUAAUUUACUUAAUAAGGUGAAAAUACCUUCAUAGAUUAUAUUA
rnacentral:rRNA from 1 species